AAGGAGGGCGCCUGUCGCCGUCAUGGCGCGGCCCGGCCCGCCCGUAGCGCCGCCGGAGGAGCGGCGGCUGGCGGCGCUUGGCGGAGCCGGGCUGCGGGAGACAAGCGGGUGACCAUGGGCCGGCGGUGCCCUUGCGGCCAGGAGGGCAGAGGUAUCCAGGGGUGCAUCGGGAAGAGUGUUUAACUGCUGCAACACAAACCCACUCCAUGUGAGCUGUCCAAGUCUUCUGUCUGCUCAGUGGAAAACAGAACUGCUCUCCUUAUCUCACUGCAGUGUCUGUUGGAAGGAAGACUGAAGGUGCAGCAACUUUGGAAAACAAACGUAGGACACUUGAGGGCAGGAUGGCUCCAAAAUGCAAACAAAAAGUGGAUUCAUAAGCUGAAAUCCAGAAAUCUUGGAUUUUUAGAUGAAGUAUUAUGAGACUUGCAGCUCUUGAAAAGCACAGAGCACAGUUAAAUAAACAGGGAAUUAAAUGGAGCAGAACCAUGCAACUCUAUUUGAGGGGAUUCCAAAGUGGAACACAUACAGUAUCUUUUGGCACCUCUAGGAUAAUGACCAGUUGUGAUUACUGAUUCAAUGAUACUCAUCACUUAAGCAGACUGGGUAACCCUGAAGUCUGGAUAAAAUUUGAAUUCACAUAAUUAUAUGCUGCUUGUUAUGUUCCCUUCAAUUUUCAAUUACAAAAAGUAUUUGGUACUGUUUUCCCUAAGGUUUUACUUAACUGUUGUCUGAUGUGAAAUCGUUGCUGUAUUUUACAGCACAGAUGGGAGGUUUUGAAUAGGAGGAGAGUUAAUUAAAUUAGUUUGUUGGUAGCAUGACAAAUCAAACACCUCAGUCCUUACAGUGAAGUAUAACAGCCCCAGCAGCAUAGCUAGUGUUAUUGUUGCUAUGUGCUUUCUAGUAUAGUUUUCACUUGCUUGUUACUGCCAAUCUGAGCUGAAAUUUCCCCUGCUGGGUGUCCGCUUCCAGCUGUUUUGUUUUAGUUUGUUUUGGUUAUUUUGUUUUGUCUUAUGAUUUGUUUGCUUUGAUUUUGGAAAGUUCCAUUUACAACAAUUGAGCCAACUACAAGGAUGAAUUUAGGGGAGAAUACAUGGUUUUGUCCAUUAUAAACAUAACCAUUUCACUGAACAGCCCCUAGCAUCUCUCUGCUUUGGAAAAACAAGCUUUCAAAUCUGGCAAGCAAAUUGCCUUAGUUUCAGGGAUAUAUUUUUCCGUGUUCAGGAAAAUAUGACCUGAAGAGAAAAAGAAUUUAAAAUGUAGAGUGGAGGCUUCUUAAAAUUGUACAGCCCUGUCCCCAGAAAGUUUCACCCAUAUUGAUCAUGUGUGACCUUGUGUUAGCCCCGGCUACAUUCUCACCUGAAUGUAGGCAUUCUUCCCUGAGAAAGUCUGAGCUUGUGCCUUUCUUUGCUUAUGUCCUGUCUAAAACAAGAAGCCUCUAAGGGGCUUGUAUAACACAGUCCAUCUCCCUCCCCUGGAACAUUUUUGCUGGGGCUACCUGUUGUUAGAGAAGGUGUUGGCAGCAUGAAGCACAUAAAAGACCUCUCUCUGCUGUAAGCUGUUUGUGUUAUUUGUUGGUUUUCCUGUAUUAACUCUAAAGGAUACUCAUAGUUGUAAGCACCAAGUAAGAUUUAAUGCCAAUUGCUAUCCCAGAACAUAAUGUGAUACCAGAACGGAUCUGUGGAAUGGAAGAGUGCCUCUGAAAUCCCAUAGACAGAAGAAAAGGUCCUGAGAUAGGGAAAAAAGAGCAGCUAAGCACCCUUACACAGGUGUAGUUCUGGAAUAUUUUCGUGCGAAGAUUGUUCUCCUCAUUGGGUGGGAUUAUGGAAAAAGAUUGAUGUUUUCCAAAUCCUGCAGAACUAGAAGUAGGGGCAGUCGUUGAAACCAGUAGGAGAUUGGUUUAGAAAAGAUAAAAGGGAGUAUACUUUUUUUUAAUGUAGCAGAUAUAGUGAACUUGUGGAAUUUACUGCCAGCAGAAGUUUUGGAAGCAAAUAGGCUAGCAGAUUGGAAAGGAGACUAAACAGUUAAAUGGACUGCAUAUUCAUAGAGACAUGAAAGAAGAAUUUAGUAGGGAUAUGCUCUCUAGCAUCCCUAAUACAGUGGUUGUGGGUGCUGGAGGAGAAUAAAGGUAAUGUAUAUGCCUGGCUUGCAUGUUCUCUUUAAAUAGUAUCUCUUGUUAUUAAAGAAAGGAUACUGGGGAUAGCUGGAUAUGGGGCUAACCCUCCAGGAGAUCCGUUAUGUUUUUUUCAGGGCUCUGAUUUUGUGUCCACAGGUAUGCGAGAAUAAAUGCAAUGUUAGUAGGAGUUUGUAUUUUAUUUUUUGAGGAUGAUGCCUCAGGGUUCUCUUACUUCAGUAAGACCUGAACCAUAGGUCACUAAUACUGCAUUGUACCCUACUGAGGAAACAUACACUUUCCAAUACAUACACAAUCCACAUAAUAUUAGUGCUUGGAUAGGGACUCAGGCUGGGCUAUAGCCCUCCUGAUGUUGCAUUUUCCCCAGAGAUCCUUCUGCUCUGUCUGCAUAGAACCUGAUGAAUACUCAUGUCUGAGGAAAGAUUUCAUAAGCUGUGAUAGAAUUUCCCCCAGGAUAUCAGUGUAUUUUGGGAAUAUUAUUUGAGAGUCAUCUGCUGGAAAACAUCUAGUGCAGCUGAAGGAGAGAGUGCCAGAUUAGACAGAUUACUAGGCAUGAAUCCCAGCCCCUAUUUGUAUGAGUACUCCUUCUGCCUUUAGAUAAUCACAUUAACAUCAGGAGUAUUGCUUACACAAGUAUUACUGAGAAAAAGUGGUGAACAGGCUUGGGCCCUCACAACAGUGUUUUUGUUCCAGCACUUUCCUGGUGAGAUUUUGAUCUUUUCCUCUUCAGAGCUCAUUAAAGUUGGUAUAUUCACUAAGGAAGACCACCCACUACUCAGCAACCUCCUGUAAUGAUUACCAACCCAUCUUUUACAUCUAUCAGAAGUAAUAUUUUUAACAGUUCAGAUAUUGUUUUCCUUCCCCUUCCUAAGCUCUUCCCAUGCUUAGAGAUACACAAGUACUGUCUUUCAUGCUUGGUUGAUUAUGAAGCCAGAACUUUUGUCUCCUCUGAGGGUUUUUUUGCUGCUCCUCCACUACAGAUGAGCCAGAAACCUUCCACAAACAUAUGCUAGAGGAGCCUCCAGUGGGUGGUGAGACUGGUAUCUCAUGGUGGUUGUCAUCAGGCAGCAUGGGUUAGGAUAUGUCUCCUGCCAAGCCUGCCUGGAGAAGCACAGCUCAGUGAGACCUUAGGGAUCUUGACUAAUAACAGCAGUAACCUAAUUUGAAAAAAAGAAAAAAGCUGUAUUCAUUUUUUUUUUGUGGCUGAUGAUACCCAAAGGAGUACCACUGUGAGUGCAAAGGGAAGAUUAUAAACAUCAAAUCAUAGAAAGUGUUUACAUGUCUACUAUUGGGUGCAAUUACUCAAGCUUGGAAAGGAUGAAGUAAUUUUUAUUUGUACACCUAAAAGGAGAAGCCAAGUUAAAGUACUUAUAUAGAUCAGCCUCCAAAAAUUAAAGUGUGAGAUAAACAAUGCCAACAACACUGUAACAAAAAAUCCAGAUUUCAAGCCAAAUAUCUAUGAAGGAAGAAGUAUUCAAUGGAAAAUAUCAUAUUCCUGCAGUCUUUCUGACCACAGAGUUACACUCAUUAUGGUAAAGCUAUAAUUGCAGCCUUGUGAAUACAGUGCUGCAGACAAUGGCCUGUCAGUGUUUUUCCACUAUAAACUCUCAUGUGAGGUUUGCAAUUUUGUGAAAUACAAUUAUCUUUGGCUGGAAUAUUCAGCUACAUUCUCAUCCCAGAAAUUGA